rnacentral:tRNA from 1 species
GGGGCGUAGCCAAGCGGUAAGGCAGCGGUUUUUGGUACCGCCAUUCCCUGGUUCGAGUCCAGGCGCCCCAGCCA